UACCAAUGUAGUAGGAAAUCUCCACUUUA
rnacentral:piRNA from 1 species